UUGUGGCUCAGUAAACAGUGACAGAGUUAGCGUUGAAAUAAAUGCUGUGAUGAAUGCAGUCCUCGGAAGCAGUUUGCUGCACUCUUCCAAGAUCUCGUCGCUUUUCAAUGUCCAGCGGCAACAAACCAAUAUCCAGAGGUUUCUUCCCAGUCCACCCAGGAGGGCUGAUGCAGUCUGAGCCAAUUCCAGAGAAAGAGAAGAUGGAGAAAGAAAUAGAGAAUGAGAAAAAGAGAGAGAGAGAAAUGCAGACCACUGAGUAUAGAAGAAGCCUGUAGGCGAUGUCUUACUUGCCCACGAGGUAAUGACCCUUCAGUGGCACCAGCAAGGUUUGUGUGCUGAUCUGGCUGCAGUGUGGAGGAGGUUGUAAACAGACAAGAGUUCAGACUAGCGGAAACUCUCAACGCUGGCCCUGGAUUCACCCUGCAUCUGUGGUACAUUUAAACAGUGUUAUCAACCCCAACACUGAAACGGUCCAUGCUUACUGCGCCAUGAAUGUCCUUCUCCACGAGUAACAAUUCAAGGAAACAUGUGAAGGCGGGAAUAUUAACUGCGUUGCUUGGAUAUGACUACAUAUUAGUCCUAAAGCUAAUAUGAAAUAUCAGCACUCUCGUCAGAGAGGUUGAAUGGGACAAAGCUAAAUGAAAGGUGUCCAUUAAUCAUUAAUUGUGCUAAAAGCCUGGCCCUUUGUAUUCCCUUGGUGCCUGGGUUAUCUGGCUGCCAUGUGACAUGCCGAGGCCUUUUCCUAGUAGAUUGGGGAAAGCCAGUGAGCAAACACAGGUGUUUUGGAGUCAGUGGCGCUCACUGUCAAGGACAACCGCAAACACGAGCAGUAAUGCCUGAUCCAGUGAGACACAGUGUUUGCCUGCUGCUUCCUGGUGAUCCAAAAUUUCAUGUCCAACCGUAUCUCCCGACUGCCCCCCCCACAUUCGUAACUAUCCACACUGUGCAUUCGAAUGAAGGAAUGAAAAAAAAGAGAAAAGAGAAAUUGGAAAAGAGCAGGGGAACAGGCACAGGUAUUCUGAGCCUUUUGAAAUGGGAGGUCUGGUUGAACAAACGAUGGGGGUGAGCAAACUCAUUUGUGGUGUAAAAGCCCUCACUUUGGAAAACAAAACAAAUUUAUUCUUCUCAAGUGGGGCUAUAUCCAUGACCCCUUGUGGCAAAUUAAGGAAGCAGUCCAGCAUUCUAGUCACCAGAGCCACCCACAUGGUUUGGAAGGCUGGAUAGGUAACACAAACAUUGUUCACAGGUCAAUACACAUACAUAAACGCUGUCUUCAGCAAGUAUUCACACCACUUGACUUUUUCCACAUUUUGUUGUGUUACAGCCUGAAUUUAAAAAUGAUUCCAUUUAGA